GGUGCGGUGGUGCAGAGGGUAAGCUGACGGAGGUUGGGUUUUUUUAGGUCUUAAUUUUUUUUUUAAAAUAUAGAUUUGACUUAAUUUUUUAAAAAUAAUUUAAACAACAAAAUAAAUUUUUUUAUUAAUUUUUAGUCCACUUGGAAGUCCAUAUCAUUAAAAAAUAGAUCUCACUUUUGACACGUCAGCAUUUAUGUAAUGUAUAGGGUAAUUUGUAGGUUUUUCGGAAGUUUGAGUAUAUACUCGUAAAUGUCUCUAAAGUUGGGUAUGAACCUGAAAAUGACCAUAUCAUUUCAGGGGUUUUAUGUAGUUUUUCUUAAUUUUUAAUCAUAUAUUUUUAUUUUUUUGGUUGUCAAAGUCUUAUUUAUCUCCAUAAAUGUAGAAUGAGCUCACAUGACUAAAUUUAACAGAAAAUAUAACGAUAAGACAAAUGUGUUGAUUAAUAAAGAGUUAAUAGAUCAUUUGAAUAAAUAAUUUAAUUGAGAGACCAAAAUACAAUUUGAAUAUAAAUUUGAGGACCAUUUGAGUAAAUAACCUUAAAAAAUAUUAAAAAGCAAAAGAGAGUAUGUGUAAAUGAAAAAAUGGCAAAUCACCUCCCUAAAAUAAUAUAUUUGGUCCCAAGGCAAAGUUAAUGCCCCAACUACUCUCCAAAAUCCAGAAGUCGCGGAUUGCUAGCGUGUCUUCACUCACAGCCGUUGAUCACCAUCAAAUCUCACACCCAUCGCUUCACUUCAAAACAAUCCAAUUGGCUAAAACACAAGCACACGGAUCGUCAACGUGGCACACCCCACUAUAAAACACAACCCACCAAAGUAUUUUUGCCAAAUUCAAAUCCAAGCGCUUCAAAACAAUCCAACUUUCCCUCCGCAACAAAAUUUUAUUUUCAGUUCUAAAAUCUGAGAGAGAAUGGAAGCUGCUAAGGUCACCAAGGGCGCCGGAGGAAGAAAAGGCGGAGAGAGAAAGAAGUCCGUGUCGAAGUCGGUCAAAGCGGGGCUCCAAUUCCCAGUGGGUCGGAUAGCCCGUUUCUUGAAAAAGGGUCGCUACGCCCAGCGAACAGGCACCGGGGCUCCGAUUUACCUCGCCGCCGUUCUCGAAUAUCUCGCCGCUGAGGUAAUUUCAUGGUCCAAGUUUCUCAGAUCUAAGCAUUUUACAUCUUUUUCCCCUUCUCGAAAUGCGUUUCUCGUAAAAACUUCUCAAUAAGAUCUGAUUGUUUUGUGCGAUUGUGUUUUCUUUUGCUGUUUGGAUUUUGAGAAAAAUAAGGAAAAUAAGGAAAAUGAGAUUUGAUUUUUGUUUCUUUGAUUAUUAAUUACUUAUUAAUUGGUGGUGGCGUUUUGAAAUCAGGUGCUGGAGUUGGCGGGGAAUGCGGCACGUGACAACAAGAAGACUCGGAUAAACCCAAGGCACGUGCUAUUGGCAGUGAGAAACGACGAGGAGCUUGGAAAGCUUUUGCAAGGAGUGACCAUAGCGAGCGGUGGUGUGCUCCCAAACAUAAACCCAGUGCUGCUUCCAAAGAAGACCUCCAAUGCGUCUUCUGAAGCUGCUGAGAAGGCGCCCAAGUCUCCCAAGUCUCCCAAGUCUCCCAAGAAGGCCUAAAACGCAUGUCGUUUUCAAUGACAACAUAUAAAUAAUGUCAGUAGGGAUCUUUAGGGCCUAGUUUUGUUUUUCUCGUGUAGUAGUUAUUGCACAAAUGAAAAUGUGGAUGGCAUAAUCGGAAAUUUCAUGUUUUGUGUAUUUUUGAAAUCUCCUUAAUGUGAGAUUUGAAAUUUCCAAAACUGACAAUUAUUAUUUCUGACAGAAAUUAUUGUGUGGUAUUAGAAUAUAAUUAUAUGAUAUAGGUGAGUGACAUGGUUACAAAAAUAAAUUUACUCCAUUCACCCAAACCCACGGAUGGAGCUUGGUAGUAUCCAAACCUGACUCAAUUGAAAUCCAUGGCCUGCCACGUAUCACUCAGUCUCGUUGCCCUUGCUCCGAAACACAUGUCAAAGGCAUAAACGGAAACUCGCAAAUUGCCAUCGUGGCAUUUUCUUUUCCCCUAUAAAAUAUUGCCUACCAAAUUACGCCAACGUGAUUUCAAAUCCCAGCGGUUCGAAACUCUCGCACUUUCCCUCCUAAACGAAUCGUUUUACCACCCUAGUCUUGAGAGAAAAAUGGAAACCGCGAAGGGGUUCAGAGGAAGAAUAGGCGGAGGGAGGAAGAAGGCAGUGUCAAAGUCGGCCCGAGCUGGGCUUCAAUUUCCGGUGGGUCGGAUCUGCCGUUUCAUGAAAGCUGGUCGCUACGCCGAUCGGAUCGGAACCGGGGCUCCGAUUUACAUGGCUGCUGUUCUUGAAUAUUUGGCUGCUGAGGUGAUUUUUCUGAUCCGCAAUAUCUCAGAUCUAAGCAUUUUAACUUGUUUUAUCGAAAUAAUUUUUACAUGAUCUGAUUGUUGCGUCUGAUAUUACUUCCGUUUUGAUUUUCUCUUGAUAUCUGAUCCUUGUGUUUUUUGUUUGGAAGAAUUGAUCAUGGACGUGUUUCUCUUUCUUGUUUGGUUGUUGAGAAAAGGAAGGAAAUGAAAAGAAAACUGACAUUUUUAUUACAAUUGUUUGAUUUCUGUUUCUGUAAUUAUAUCAUUAAAUCACAAAUUAAUCGGUCAGGUUCUGGAGUUGGCGGGGAAUGCGGCACGUGACAACAAGAAGACUCGGAUCAGCCCGCGGCACGUGCUAUUGGCAGUGAAAAACGACGAGGAGCUGGAGGAGCUUUUGAAAGGAGUGACCAUAGCCAGUGGCGGUGUGCUUCCGCAGAUAAACCCAGUUUUGCUUCCAAAGGAGACGACGUCGUCCAAAGCCUCUUCCAAGGCUCCCAAGCUCGUCAAUCCCACCACGAACAAAUCGUCUUUUUCUGCUGCUGUAGAAGAUGCUCCCGACUUUGGGAAUGAGGCAAACGACGCCGCUUCGGAUGUCGCCGACAAUGCGUCUCCCAAUUCACCACCCAAGGAGGAGGCCUCAAGCCCCUCUUCUGGUGUUUCUGCUGUAUCAGCAACUACGUAAAUGUCAGUAGGGAACUAUAGGAAUGAAAGGUUCUUUAGUCAGAGUAGUGCACAAAUGGAAACUGAUAGUGGGUUGGGUAUAUCUGAAAGAAACUUCAAUGGGAAGUUUCUUAUUUUGUGAAUGAAAUAUAAAUGCAAUCUUCUUAUGGUGAUCAAUUGAAAUUUGGAAUGCAAAUCCUCAUAUCAAAUGGAAAGAUUUCUUAUUUUGUGAAUGCAAUUGAAAUCCAAUCUUCAAAUCAAUACUUACAUUCACAAAUAUGAGUUAGGCCACUUGGCCAAUACAGUGUACUCACCCCACUGCAUCCGAAUUCGAACCUCCUCCCGUAUAUUAGAAUAGUUUAUAAUAUCCAUUGUAAAAAUAAAAAUAGGAACAUAUUACAUCAAUUUUUUGAGUCGAAGAUCUGAUUUCUUUUAGGAAAAGUCAAAACCAAAGAGCACACAACACAACCCACAACGCCCAAAAGGUUUGGUCUUUUUAUUUGUGCUCCAAUUCUCGGUACCCGAUUAGGAUUUGGGCUGUGUAAUUCCAACUGCAAAGCCCAUUUGAACUUCAUCUUUGGUCUCUGACCAAUAAUAACACUUCAACCUUUGGUCUGAGAUUUGAGACACCGUCAUCAAAGAAGGGGUUUUAGCUUGGGUUUUUGUGUACCUUGCGUUUCAGAACUUCUAGUACAUUUUACUCAUUCAAGCCUUCGUUUCGUUUUACUCAUGAACCAUUUUCUGGUAUUCGCAAUCUGAUUGGAAUUCAUUUUUAAAUUUAUUAGCUUUCGUUAGAAACUUAUUACUUUCGCAUCUGAUUCCGGCAGAGAAAACUUUCAACCCCCAACCGGAUUGUGGCCAUUUCCGCCGCUGCAGGGUCGGUUUUAUUGUACGCCAACGGCAACAGAAAUUCCGGUAAGUUCAAAGCUUUUAUUUUGAUCCGAAGUGAAUUUUUCUCUUCCUGUUUUUGGGCAAACAUUUUUUUGUUGCUGGAUGAAUGAGGAAACGAGAAAUCAAAUGUUGGGUUUUCGUUGCUUGGUUUCUAACCCAGUUAAAAAAAUGUCAAACGUUUGAUCGAUCCAGAUCGAGAUUCACAUUUUUAAUUUGAUUCUAAAAAAUAAUGCAUUUCUGAUUGAUUAACUAUAAUAAUCAGUCAUUAAGUAUGAAUUGGAUUUUAGAUUACACGGCAUCAGUGUCACUCCCUGCGCCAUUGCGCGAAUCGCUGUGGCUUCCAUGGCAAUCAGAGCUAUCGGUUCCACUGUUUUCUCUGGGAAAUAGUUCGGUUCCAUCAUCAGAUAUAAGCAAGGAUGUUUCUGGUGUCUCAGCAGCUGGAGAGAUACCAAAGACAUGUAGUGGAUGUUUGGGCAGAGAUUCUUUUGCAAAAGCGGCUGCUAAGGUUGGUCCUGCUGUUGUCAACGUAUCUGCUCCACAGGGUAAAAAUACAUUUUGGGAUUUUUCAUUUUUGUUUUGAGACAGUUGUAUUGUAUCGAGAAAUUAACAAUGAUGCUUUGUUUGUCAACUGUGUAGGUGAAUUUGGGAUCAGUCCUGGAAAGGGUAUGGGCUCCGGAACUAUUAUUAACCAGGAUGGUACGAUUUUAACGUGUGCUCAUGCUGUGGUUGAUUUUCAUGGGCUGAGAGCUUCAUCAAAAGGGAAGGUUAGAAACAUUAUCCCAAUUCUCAUAAUUUAAAAUAUCAUAAUGACUGUUCUGUACUAGUUCCCUUGGGGACUCUGUUGGUACACAUAGAAGGGCAUAUAUUUCAAAGUACAAAUAUAGGGUAACUGGUAAGACUGAGUUAAGAAAUGCAAUAGGUUUUCAGGGCAGGCUUUUAGGAAAAUAUAUCAAUCUUCAAGGAUUGAUGUUCAGUUCAACUUGAUACAGGUUCAUGUCACUUUGCAAGAUGGUCGAACAUUUGAGGGUACUGUGGUCAAUGCGGAUUUACAAUCCGAUGUUGCUAUUGUAAAGAUCAAUUCUAAAACUCCACUACCAACAGCAAAGCUCGGCAGUUCAAGCAAGCUUCAGCCUGGGGAUUGUGUGAUAGCUGUUGGCUGUCCACUUUCGCUUCAGAAUACAGUCACAUCUGGUAUUGUAAGGUAAAUUAGUUUUCAGUAAUAGAGAGUUGGUAUCUUUUUUGUCUACCAGUUAUCAAAUUAAACUCCUAGCAACGCACACAUAAAAAUGCACAAUUUCAAGCCUUUAAUUUUUCUUUGACCAUUUUACUAUAUCAUGUAUUUUUGGUGUUUAUCAUCAUGUUUCUCCCUUUAAUGCAGUUGUGUUGACCGUAAAAGCACUGAUUUGGGUCUUGGUGGAUUGCGGAGAGAGUAUUUACAGACGGAUUGCGCAAUCAAUCCGGUCUCUCUCUCUCUCUCUCUCUCUCUCUCUCUCUCUCUCUCGAUAAUGACUUUGAAUUGUGCCUAAAACUUGGCUCUUUUUUUUUUUGGGUACAUGACCUGAGUGUUGCAGGGAAAUUCUGGGGGGCCUUUAGUUAAUAUUGACGGAGAGGUGAUUGGUGUUAAUAUUAUGAAAGUACUUGCUGCUGAUGGAUUGAGUUUUGCUGUACCGAUUGAUUCGGUCACCAAAAUUCUGGACCAUUUCAAGAGAAAUGGGUAUGUUUUUGUUUUAGCAUGUGCAAAUAGUUUUAUGUGAUACACUUCUUUGAUAAUUUGGUUUCUUUUAAGAUAAUAUAUGUGAAACUAAUUAGUCAUGUUCAGCAGGAGGGUUGUCCGGCCUUGGAUUGGAUUGAAGAUGAUUGAUCUCAAUGAGAUGAUCAUCACCCAGCUUAAAGAAAGAGAUCCUACAUUCCCAAAUGUGAAGAAAGGGAUUCUUGUCCCCAUGGUAUGUAUAUAGUUGCUUCCUUCCCCAAUCUUGUACAUAUGUAUCCAAAUAGUAGUUGAAUGUAUCAGAGGUGGAAAGUACAUCUAGAUGCCAUCCUUUGGCAGUUAAAGAAUUGCAAUGACUUUUAAAUGGCUUCCUAGUCUAAUCUCGUAAGAGUGCCUUAGUUGUGUAUUUCAUUGCUUUUUCUACCUUGAUAUCUAUCAGUCUUUUCUAAGUGGGUAUGUGAUGCACAAAUAUGAAAACCAGGCUGUUAAGGAUAGUUGGUAUUCAACAAAUAACACACAAGUUUAUUGCAACUUGAGCUUUUUCACUAGAUAUGCAUCAGCAUAAUUUCACUUUUACUUCUUCAUUGUGCACCCAUUGGAAUGAACGUGUUAUUGUUUGACUGUUAAACAUGGCUGGAUCACUUGUCAAAUAAUUUACCUUUUGAUCGUCUAGGUAACUCCUGGGUCACCUGCUGAACGUGCUGGGUUCCGUCCUGGUGAUGUUGUUAUUGAAUUUGAUGGAAAGGCUGUUGAAAGCAUUAAGGAGGUACUGGAACCCUUACUAUACUAUUAUUUCCAUGAACUUCUUUGAGUGAAUGCUAUAUUGGCAAAGUGUAUCGAAUUUACCAAUUUAGCAAAUGACUAGAUUUGUAAUAAUUUGUUAAAAAAUGUUCAUCAAAGUUGGUGAAAUUGUGACAGAUCAUUGAAAUAAUGGGAGACCGAGUUGGGGUGCCCAUCAAGGUAGUUGUGAAAAGAGCAAGAGAUGAGUUGACUUUAACUGUAACUGCAGAGGAGUCGAAUUCAGAUAUGUGAAUGACAAGCUUUUGUUUUCAAGAUAGUUUGUUGUUGGUUUGGUUCCUGUAAUUCUGUGACUGGAAAGAAGAGCGAAUGCAUAUAUCCAGCUAGUUAGUAGUUAAUGUUACCUUUGAAAGAUACUGGUGAUAUUGAGGUGAAUUAGUUUGAAAUUUGGUGUCUACUUUCUAAAAUUUCUCAUUCUCCCAUGGAAUGGAAGCCUUGUGUUCGUUGUAACUUGCAUACGAGCAACAAGGAGAUAUCAUCUCCAAAAUUUAACCCUUGAACUUGUAUGGGUCUCUUUUACUCCAACUAUCUAACGUGGACUUCUAUCAAAUUUUAUUUGCAAUAAUUUAUCUAACAGUAUAUUUGGCAGAAAUGGACCAUAUAGAAUAGAUGCAUAAAGUCGAAUUGAACUAAAGGCGAUCCGAAAUUUGGAGACAAAAAAUUGUUGAUCACUGCAACUAAUUUCAUUGAUACAUAAUAUAACUGUUAUAUAUGUGUAACCCCGAUACCGAUCUCUAGCAUAUUCUCAUUUCCUCGAAUAUUUACAAUGUAUUUCAAUACCCUAAAUAAUUUAAAGAAGGAAAAAGGCAUAACAUAAAAAGGUGCUACCAAAAACAAAAUAUUUACACCACUUCAAAAAGUUUCUUCUGGCUUCAAGAAGUUAUAAUAUUCCAGCUGAGUCAUUUCUCCUCCAUUUACAGGGUCGAAUUGGCAACGAUAGAAGCUGCAUUCGCAAUCCGAUGAUUUCAUUAGACAGUUAAUCUUCGGAAACAGAAAAGAAAAGAAAAGUAGACUCCAACAAUCUAAAUAAAAUAAGGAACAUUCUAGUUGAAGGCAGCUCCAUGGAAUCAAUAGACUUAGAAAACGGGGACUUGCAAAAAGAACAAACAAUAUCGCAUUCAGUUACCUUCCAUCCAUGCCAAGAAUCACGACUGUGUUCUUCUGGUGUCCAAAGGCAACAGUGUACUGCAAACCUUCCUGCAAGUGAUAUUUAGCCACUGACCAUUCUGAGCUGAAAUACCUUGGCAACACACCUGCAAAAGAUAAACCCAGAACAAGGUUGAAAGACCAAGAUCAAGAUACACAACUACGAGUCAUUUACAAAUUGACGUUACAGUUUAUCUAUGGUGCCUCAGAGAUAAACUUGGCAACAAAUUACGUACCUUUCAUGAAAGAGAGAGAUGAAAUGCCGGAAGGAUUAGGAGGACUGAUUUCUGAUGCACUGCAUGAUCUAUUGUUUGCCAAGGAUCCUGAAUCAACCUUUAGGCUGAAAACAUGGACAGUGCCCUUAUCACUUGAGACAGCUAACCAUUGAGCAGUAGAAGAAAAAGCAAGACUGUAAAUCUCUGCUCUGUCUGCUCCUCUCCUUACCUACAUAAAAUACCAAGUAAUUCCUUAAACAUUAAUGUUACUAAAUUACCACAAAAGUUAAUAAAUUUUUGUGCAGAGUAGUUAUAAAGACCAAGUAUUCAACAGAAUAUGGUGGCAUCAUAUCCAAAUAUACCCUGCAAAAACCUAAAACCUCAACCAAGCAUGAAUCCCAGUCACCUUUCUGAGACAAAUUGCUUCCCAAAAACCUAGCUUUGGCAAAGUUAUGCCAUUGCCAACCAAACUAAUGAGCAAAACUACACAAACACACACACACAUAUAUAUAUUCAAUGAAAUCAAAAACCCGGAUGAACAGACACUGACAACUUUGUCACAGAUUCAACUAAAGCUUGAUUCUUAGUUCAUACAAAUAGACAUGGCAGCACCCAAAAACACAAUUUCACAGAACAUUAAGAAAAAUAAUUAAAAUUUAAAUACCUCUUGAAGUAAUGAACCAUCCAAAGUAUUGAAAAUCCUGAUCAAAGUGCCUUUACUACUGGCCGUGGCUAGCAGCCGACCGUCCUGCGUGAGCGCCAAGCACGCGAGCCUGGAAUCGUGGGCUAUUACAAACUUGGUUCGCUUUGACCCGUAAUUCUCGAUCCGAACUUGACCUUUUUGGAGCCCCGGGCACACCAGUACCGGAUGACCCGACAAGUUCGAGACCUCACAGAGUCCUUUGGGGUUGGCGAUGGUCUCAAUUUGAUGCAGGAGCUUUAAGUCAGUGAAAUUGUAGACGAAAACCUUCUGGACCAAAACGACGACGAUUCGGUCACGGCGGAGCCUGACCCCUUUGACUUCGGACCGGAAAGAGAGCUCGCAGAUGCAACGGGACUCGUUGUCCUCCCAAAUCAUGACCUUGUUGGGCGAGUAGAGCGGGUCGGGUCCGCCGCCGACAAGGGCGAGGACGUUGCAGCGGAAGAGCAUCUGGACCAUCCCGAGGCCGCCACCUGGACCGAAUUCGCGGCGGAAGAUCUCGCGGACGGGGUCGCAGUUGUAGACGCGGAAGCCGACGUCGGUGGCGACGGAGAAGCAACCGUGGUCCUGGUUGAAGGAGAGGUGGAGGAGGGUGGGGAUUUGGGUCGGGUUCGGGUUUGGGCAUGGACUUGUGUUUUGGGUGGAGAGAGAGGAAGAGUCGUCGGGUUCGGGCUCGGAGGCUGCAUGGAGAGGCUGUGGGUGUGCCAUUUGGGGCGUGGUGAGUAAAUCAGGGGAGGAGGAGAUGGUGGUCAUGGCCUCAUGAAACUCGGUGGCGGUGGAGGUAGGCAGGACUUGGGGUUUUUAUUUAUUUUGACCUAUUUUAAUAUUUAUUUUUUUGGGAGGGUUUUGCUGCACACCAUAAACUUUGAAAGAUAUUUUUGGAUUAUGGGUUGUGUAUUUGUCCAAGCUGUAUUUACAGCUUAUGCCAAAAUAUAUAUAUUUUCUAAUUCUUUUUGGAAUGCAAUCCAAUUUUUUCUAUGAACACCACUUAAAUACUAAUUUAUCAUGCUUAUAUCUUUAACAAAGCCUAAGCAUAUUUGGUUUUUGAAAAUUUUGACAAGUCCAUGCCUAUUUGAUUUAGUAAUACACAUUUAUUUUGUUAUAGAAAAUUCUGAAUAUUAUCGUAAACUUUGUUUGUUUGUUUUGUUAUUGAAUUUGACUUGCUAGCUUUAAAAUUAUAAAGACUAAAAAAGCCUAUAUUGGGGGAGGGGGCAAUUAAACGAGUGUGGGAUGCAUGGAUAAAUGCUCUUAAUCAUUUGACCUACAAUUCUUCGGAAAAAAAACUUAAGCCCUUACCUUGUGUGCAUAUAAUUAUUUUCAAUUCACUUAUGUUUUCAGUUUUUUUUUCAUUGGACACUAGGUUUUAGUUGAUUAGGGUGUUUAUGAGAGGAGUAGAUUUUCACUAAGAAUUCUCAUUUAGUGGAAACUUGAUUCAUUAUCAAUAGUGAAUGAUAAAUCUAAAUCCAACCGUGAGUAAAUACGUCAAACCAACCGUCAAAAAAACCUUCUUUUUUAAAAUUCUGUCGUUAAUACUUUCCUAUUUAGGAAAGGAGAAAAAGUGAAAAAAAUCAAGCUGUGAAUUUUAGCAGCAAGAGGCGGCGAGAGCCCCCGUUAUUUGAGUAUCGAGGUUGAGCAAAAAGCCCCAAUUCCAAAUACACUGGUUCAAUUAGGGUUUAACGGAAUUUCCCCAACGCUUGGUUGAACAAUUCGCAGCAAAUCGCAAUGGCUCGUAACGAAGAGAAAGCGCAUUCAAUGCUCAAUCGAUUCAUCACACUCAAAGCCGAAGAGAAGAAGAAGCCAAAAGAGCGACGCCCAUACCUGGCCUCCGAAUGCCGAGACCUCGCCGAGGCCUCCAAAAGGCGGCAGCAAAUCAUGGGAGAGAUUGGCUGAAAAGUCGCCGAGAUCCAAAACGAAGAGCUCGGCGAGCACCGUCUCCGCGACCUCAACGACGAGAUCAACAAGCUCAUACGAGAGAAAGUUCACUGGGAACGACGAAUUGUUGAGCUCGGAGGUCCUAACUACGCGAAACACGCCCCUAAGAUGACGGACCUCGAUGGCAACAUCAUCAACGUCCCAAACACUAGCGGCCGCGGCCCUGGGUAUCGGUAUUUCGGCGCGGCGAAGAAGUUGCGGGGAGUCAGAGAGCUUUUCGAGAAGCCGCCGGAGCUGAGAAAGCGGAGGACGAGGUACGAUAUAUACAAAAGGAUAGAUGCGAGCUAUUAUGGGUAUAGAGACGAUGAGGAUGGGGUUCUGGAGAAGGUUGAGGCUCCGGCGGAGUGGAAACGGAUGGAGGAGAUAAGGAAAGAGGCAAGGAGGGCGGUGAAGAGUGGGGAGGUGGUGUCGGUGGCCAAGGCGAAGGAGGUUUUGUUUGAGAGGAAGAGGAGGUGGUUGAGGAGGAGAGGCAGAGAGAAAGGGAAUUACAAGAGAGGAGUGAGAGGGAGAAAGAGUUUGUGGUGACGAUAAGGAGAUUGAGAAGAUGGUGCUGGAGAAGAAGAAGAAGGAGCUGCUGAGCAAGUAUACUAGUGAUGGAUUGUUGGAGGAGCAGACUUGAGGCUAAGCAGAUGCUUAACAUUCAGCGCUAGAAUGCAGACACCUAGAAAGAGAAAGAGUAUGUUACUGUGUUUAAUUUGACUCAUUGACUGAUAAAAAGUUGUUUGUUCUUAUCAUAUAUCAAAUUGAUAUUUAAGAUGGAUUUUUGAUGUAUUAAUGUUCUGGCAUAAGUUGAAUUCUCUUUGGUUAUUGGUAGGCUUUGCUAAGUAAGUGUUUGUAAAGUAUUUAGAUGGUGGAUUGAGUAAUAGUUGUCCUUGAUGAUGAAACAAGUUAUAUUUGUCACUUUGGAUUUAAUUUCAAGGAGCUAUAAUUAUCAGUUGAUUAUGACAAGUUUUGUUAGCCUUUCUACUACAUGUUCUGUUCUUUUAUCAAAGUUUCAUUACUUUCUUUGUUGCUGAGUUUACCUGGCUACCUCUUUCAAAUUAUACUGUAAGCUUUGUAAACAAAGAACAUAUCAGCUAUUUAGUUUAUACAUGAUUUGUACUCUUUAGUACGAGAGCAAAUUUCUAAUUUUUCUAAAGAAAGAAGAAUAAAAGAUUAGAGAAAAGUAGGUUUCAGUAAGAACAAUUUAGGAGUACAAACAUGAAGAUUUGGAUGUGAGUUCUAAGAAACAACCAAAUUAUACUCAUGCUUGGUCUCUGCUCUAAUGAUAUUAUUUACAGUAUUUGUGUGAGCUGAGAAAUAUUGCAUGCGAGUAAUAUGACACAACAAUGGUUUGGAAAGGAAAGUUGAUGUUGGUUUUUUCUGGAACUUCAACAAUAACAUAUGCUUGGAGCAAGCAUGAAGGUUUGUUCAUUGUGCCGUACAUAUCACGUAAAACAUUGUCUUGAGUUUAUUGCCUACCUUUUUCUUACCAAAGAAAACUGUAUAUUGCUUUGUGUAUAAAAGAAGUUGCUGGGUUGCCGUUGAUUGUUGGGCACUUAUUUAUUUUAUUAACCACUGGUUGUGGAACUACAUGUUAUGAACCAUCUCCAUUCUUUAGUGAUGGUUGCUUUGAGAUCAAUAUGUACCAUCCACUAAAACUCAAUCUUUAAAUUUUGAGAUAUUUAGUGAUAUACCUAUUUCUAGCACUAAUAUUAUAAAUAAAUCCUACAAAAUUGAAUUCCUAUAAACAAACUCAAAAAAAAUCUAAAAAAUGAGAGCUGGCCUUAUUGAAUUUAAUAUUGAUUAUUAAAUUACUUUGAUGCCCUAUUGAGUGCUUUGGGUAUUUUUAUGAGAUUUUGGGGUUGGGCUUGUUUUAAGAAAUUGAUGGCAGUUUUGUAAUUUAUAAGAAGUUAAAAGCUUUUUUGUUAUGUUGUAAAUGGGCUUUGGGUGUGUUUCUAAAGUCCAUUUUAUGUAGGGUAUUUUUAUAAUUUGGGCCCCCAUAUUGGGUAUAAUAGUGAAUCUCCCUUAAAUUUUCUGGUUAUAUUGCUCUCUGGGCCUGCCAUGCAUUAGUACAAAGGUGUCUACCUCUUUAGUUUUGGGCCCUUGGGGUUCUUCAACUCAUUGUACAGGCAGCUGAUUAAAAGGUUGGGUGUUUUGUUCUUACUAUUUGAAAUAAAAAAAAUCAUCUGCUGACACAGUAUGACGACUUUUCGUUGGUGGAAACUUUAGAAUGUCGAGUGGAAAAACGAUCGGAUGCUGUGGUGUAGGUUGAUCUCGCAACAUCUUGUGAUGUUGAUGGCAUACAAGUAUAUGCAAUUCGUGAUAUGAUUAUGAGGACCAGAGGAGCAUUGGUCACACAAUUGGGGAAUUUUAUCAUCAGUCUCUCCUGGAGGAGCCUGCUAGUUUUCGCUACUUUCACAAGCUUUUAGUGCUCUUCAUCAAUGUUUGAGACUUUACAUGUGUGACCAGAACAGAGAAGAAAGAAAUGUGCAAAGCAUAUGAACUCUAAUCUAAAGGCAUCCACCAUAGGAAUUGAAAACAUGUACACGCAAGAAGGCAAGAAGGCAAGAAGACAUAACCCUGAAACCUCCGUUAACAUCUGUAUGUACUCAUCAUAAAACUAAAACUACAUAAAAGCCGAAACCAACAAAUUAAACAGAACCCAAACACCAAAAAUUACUAGAAAUCAAAGCCACCGCCAAAGUCAUCACCACCAAACCCAGCAUCAUACCCAGCAUCAUAGGCAGCCAUCUCACCAACAUCUCCAAUCAUAUCUCCAAUCAACAAACCACCCAACAGUCCAGCUCCCAUGCCAAGCGCCAUGUUGCCUCCUCCCCUCUUAGGCUUCUGCGGCGGGUACCCAUAGCCUGACUGAGGCGGGUAACCGUACCCGGCCUGCGGCGGUGGUGCGUACCCAUAACCCGGCUGCUGAUGAGGCGGUGGUGGGUACCCACCAGGCGGCGGGUACGGGUAAGCUUGGGCAGGCGGAUACGGACCCGCAUGGGCCGCAGGCGGGUACCCGGAGCUUGACCCGGGAUGCCCAGAUGGGUAAGCCAUCACGGGCUCAUGGGUUUUCUUAUGGGCCUCAGGAACAGGAACUGUGAACUUGUCCCCAAAUUUGUACCCGAAAUUGAUGGAUCCUUUGGGCUUCCCACUGGAAGUUCGAACGCUGUAACCGACGUGCUUGAUCUGCUUCUUCUGAUCAUCACCGCCGCCCAAGCUGUCGAAGAGCUCCUUGAGGGGGAUUUGGACUUUGCCGAUCUUGGUGUCGCCCAAGCUGCGCUCGGAGACGAGCUUGAUGUUGAGAGUGAGGCGGUUGUGGAGCAAAGCGGCGUCGUCGAGAGUGAACUUGAUGGAGUAGUUGUUCCACUUAGGGUUUGUGCCGCCGUCUUUGGCGACGGGGGUCUUGGUCGUCUGCUUCUUGUUGCGGGGGUCGCCGGAGACCGAAACGGCGGCGUAGACGUCCAUCUUGGAGAACAUAUUGACAUCCUUGAGGUCGCUGGCUGAGACGAUUGUUAUCUCCAAAGGCCUGCACUCCAUGACGAUUGAAUUCUUGAGUUGGAAACUUGAAACUUGAAAUCAGAGAAAGUGUUUGAUAUUUCUUUUGAUUUGCGAACUCGAGAACUGUGAAUUGGGAGUUGGUAUGGAGAGCAAAACAAUAUAUAUAGAGGAGCAAAGGCAGGGCCAGGUUCUGUGAAGCUUCUAUGAAUUUAUAAUUUUUUAUUUAUUUCAUUUUAGUUUUGGAUAAGUGGUUACAAUUUAUUUCAGCUUUUUAACGCAAUAAAUAUUGUGAAAUUGUUCCUAGAAAGAAUCUUUCAUUACGCGUAUUGUUGAUUUAUUAUUUUGGUUUAUAAAUUUACGCGGAUGCGCGUGACAUGUGAGUUUUUUAUUUUUAUUUAUUUAUUUAAUAUGGGAGCGUGAUACACAAUAAAAGACAGGAAAUCCCAAUUGUAUAUGUAUUAUUUUGUUGUUACCUAAUUGAACUUAAAAUCCUAUUUUGUGGCUUGCCAUUUGGCUAAGAUUCACGGGAAAAUUACCCAUGUCAUUAAUUAGGUUUAGUCUUCAAAAGAUUGAUUAAGGAAGAGGAAGGAAGUCAAUUUGCUGAUUAAGAUGUUAAAUGGGGGAAUGGGGCCCGCCACAGUCUCACAUCGAAUAGAAGAGAAUAGAAAGGCUGAAACCACGUAAGUGGCGCGUAAGCCUGCCUUCCUUCAUAAUGCGAGUAGCAACAAACAAAGUGAUUGAAGGCCAGCCCCCCUCUGACGUCAUAUUGAUAUUGAUAUCGAUAUCGACUUUAAAAUUAGAUGUAUCAAUCAAAAUAAAAUUCUUAUUUUUCCUUUUUACACAAGAAUAGCUGCAUAAGAAAGAAAGGGUACGAACAUGGGUAUGGGUACAAGGGACGGACUCAUUAUCUUGACCUAACUUUACGAUCUAUAAUAAAUUCUUAAACUUUAAAUACUAAUUUUAUUCAUGUGAAACUUUAGAUGCUAAUUUGGAACCUAAUGAGCAACAAUGAAAAAGAAAAGAAAAGAGUAAACAAAAAUGAAUAAUAAUGAAAUACCUGUCUCCAGAUGGCCUUGUUGGUAUUGAGUUAUCAGUUAGAGCACCCCAGCAAAUCCCCAUAUUUAAUCUUUAUCUUUGUCUCUGUCUCUCCCUCCUGGAUUCUUUUAUUAUUAUUAUAUGAAUACAAAGAGGUAGAUGGUAAUGGUUUGCUGUAAAUAUUUAAAGCUCUGUGAGAGACGAUUUCAAUCUCAAUAUUUCUUCAAAAUCCCUUCCUUAUUAUGUUUGACAAAUUUGUUUCCUUGUUUCUGUUUAUCUGUUUAUUUUUACCGACUUAAAUUCUUCCUCCAUUGCACUCCACCAGCGCCGACUCUAAGCCUCUGGUUGAUUUGGUAAGUUUGUUUUAAUUAUCACCACCAACUCCCUAAUUAAAGAAGCCUUCUUCUAAUUAGGCUAUGCAUUCAUUUAACACAAAUCCAUAACCAUGGCUGCUUCUAGUUUUGGUUACGAUACAAGUACAACAACAGUUAAAUUAGGAGCUUCAAAUCUAACCCGUUGGAUUUAUUGGAUGGUGGGGAUUAAACAAAAGGGUCUGUUUUACAAGUCCCCACAUUGGAUAUUGAAAGGCUGGAAACACGUAAAUGGUACGUGUGAAGAAAAGGCAGCCGCUUUGCUUUGAUGUGAUCUUUUUAUGCUUACGGGAGAAGGAAUAGUUUGAUGUGAUCUUAUCCACCCAAAAUUUAAAAAAAUCGUAAUUAGGAUAAGUUCCAAUUCCACCGCUUUGUUGGUUGAAAUGCUCAUUCUUCUAUACACCUUUUCGAACUUUGCAACUUGGACGAUUAAGGAUUUGGAAUUUCAAUAACAAAAGAAUGGAAUUACGAAGUGUCUGGUGGAUGCUAGAAAAGUUUAAAUAUUGUAAUGAAGGCAUAAUGGUUAACAUUGUCUCAAUCAUCAACUCAUGUUCUUUCGCAUGUAAACUUUUCAUUUUUCUUUUAUAAAGUUUUUAUGCCAAUUUUUAACAAAAUUCACUGUUAUUUUACAAUGUAUCAUUAAAUGUAUUUUUUUAAAAUUUAAUUUAAUAUAAAUAACAAAUUUUAUUUUAACAAACAUGAGAAAGAAAACAAAGUAAAAUCUCACUGGUUAUUUUCCGAUAUUAUAAAAAGUGAGAAAUGAAUCUUCCAUUUUCAUAUUGGGAAGUUCAAAUUCAGAAUCUUUCUUUCAUUUUCAUCUUGGGAAGUUCAAAUUCAAAUUCAUUCCGUGAAUCAGACGGGGGCUUAGGCUUCUGCUUCUCCAGCGAGUACUGCUUCUCCAGCGAGUACCCGGAGCUUGACCUGGGCUUAGGCUUCUGCUUCUCCAGCGAGUACCCGGAGCUUGACCUGGGAUGCCCAAAUUUGUACCCGAAAUUGAUGGAUCCUUUGGGCUUCCCACUGGAAGUUUGAACGCUGUAACCGACGUACUUGAUCUGCUUCUUCUGAUAAUCACCGCCGCCCAAGCUGUCGAAGAGCUCCUUGAGGGGGAUUUGGACUGAGCCGAUUUUGGUGUCGCCCAAGCUUCUCUCGGAGACGAGCUCGAUGUUGAGGGUGAGGCGGUUGUCGAGCAAAGCGGCGUCGUCGAGAGUGAACUUGAUGGAGUAGUUGUUCCACUUAGGGUUUGUGCCGCCGUCUUUGGCGACGGGGGUCUUCUGCUUCUUGUUGCCGGGGUCGCCGGAGACCGAAACGGCGGCGUAGACGUCCAUCUUGGAGAACAUAUUGACAUCCUUGAGGUCGCUGGCUGAGACGAUUGUUAUCUCCAAAGGCCUGCGCGCCAUGACGAUUGAAUUCUUGAGUUGGAAACUUGAAACUUGAAAUCAGAGAAAGUGUUUGAUAUUUCUUUUGAUUUGCGAACUCGAGAACUGUGAAUUGGGAAUUGGUAUGGAGAGCAAAAC
rnacentral:lncRNA from 1 species